CAGUUUCCUUCUGGUAUUUAGAUCAGUCCAAGAAAUAAAUUUUUAAAAUAGUUCCUCCAAUAGAAUCUUUCCCAUAUUUUCAGCCCUGAGAAUUCACAAGGACGCAAGUUGUGUUACACUGACUCUGGAGCCAGCAGCUUCUAAGAGUGCAAAAAUCACCUCAGAAAAUAAUGGAGGUGAGGGGUUGAGGGCAGUCCAUUCAUCCCUCAGCUCUCCAACUUGCCUGAAAAAAAGAAAAAGAGCAAAAAGCCAGAGCACACCAUGUUUUUGCUCUCCUCAUGGCAAUAGCUGCAUCCUGCUCCAAUUUAUCCUAAACAGAACCAGAGCCCAGAAAGGGGACAAAAAUGUGAAUUAGUUUUUGUUCUUCCUUUUAGCACAGAAGAACUGAUAAAGACUUAAAAUCUGCUGUCAAAUGCUCUGGACCUUUACCAAAUCCUUUUCUGCCUUCUCCCACUGAGACCUGCCUAGGUGUCCCUAGGCUGGUGCCUUGAGAAACCAGAUGCAACAAGCAUGUUCUUCAUUCUUCUUUGAUCAUAGCUGCAGGAUUCUUCCUCCAACCAUUGAUUUCCUCCUUCUUUUCCAGGCUCAGGGAAGAGGACAAGCAGAAACUCUGGCAGCCGUCGAAUGUUAAGUAACUGGAAGAGUGGGCCAUGCCCUUGGAGAAGAUCAGGACGCACAGGAGCCUGACCCACACUUCAGAAGAAAAGAAUUUGCAGCAGAGCAUCCCACCAGCAGAGCUGCGCUGCUGGAGCCCAAACUGGAGCUCAGCUGUGUUAUUUACUCUACGAGGUCCCAGCUGUCAACCUGGCCUGGCAUCACGACAGCCUACGGCACAAAUGGCCUCAGCCAGCUGCUUGGCUCAGUGCACAAUUCUCUCUUUUUAAAUGAGAUUAGCGUUGGUGAAAUGUGCUAGCUCAACGGGCAUGCUGAUCUAAGUCCUCUGUUUAUUCGGGCUACAGCAGAUACAACGAUCACUUAAAAAAAAAAGAUGCAAUUUUAAAAGAUGCCAUGAAUUCGCCUGAGCUCCUGCAGUUGCUCCCUCAUCACAGGAUAAAGAGAGGUUUCUUACAGAUCCAUGGAGAACUGAGGACUGGAAAUGAUGAAUCUUGAAACUGUGUUAUGAAUAACAACACCAGAUAACUCUUGUGUGUCCCUGAAAUACUUGGACAUUUCCUUAAGCCUCCUGGAAAACCAAUGACCGUGGAGAAUAAAAUACUUCAUCAUCAACUUCUUCAGGUUUUCUGGGCAAACAAUGUAAAAAAGUCCAGUUGGAAGCAGCAGAUUUUGCAGUCUGUAGAUUAAAAAGCAUAUAAAAUAGAGACAUAUGUGAGGACAUUAGUAAACUUCUUAAAGUAAAAGGUUAACAAAUUUUAUAUUAACUCCCACUCUUGUUAUUUGGAUGACGAGCUCAGAAUUCCACUUUAAAAGAAUUUAAAGGACUUUAAAAGAAUUCCUCAUCUGUUAAUAAGAUGGGAAUAUCUCCAUGCAAGUCUGUAAGAGUUCAAUGUUGAUUUCACAAAAGUCAGAAAAUCACUCCAAUUUCUCUGACUUUAGAAGGGAAGUGAAGAUCUCUCUGCUGAACAUGCUCUGAGCUGGAUCUCAUUGGGAAGCUCUGAAAGAGGCCGAGUCAUGUGGAACGUAUGACAUAACUCAAACUUUGUUAUCUCUGUAAGUGUUUUAAGCUGGAGGGAGGUUUGCACGCGGCUUUUCCAUGACCUCACUCAAAAAACCCACAAAAUCAUGCUGUGUUGAUGUUGAUUCUUAUAAAUACAAACUGUAAAAAUGCAAA